rnacentral:rRNA from 1 species
GACGAACGCUGGCGGCGUGCUUAACACAUGCAAGUCGAACGGUGAAGCGCCUUCCUUUUUGGUGGGUGUGGAUGAGUGGCGAACGGGUGAGUAACACGUGAGUAACCUGCCCCCUUCUUCUGGAUAACCGCAUGAAAGUGUGGCUAAUACGGGAUAUUCUGGGUCUGUCGCAUGAUGGGUCUGGGAAGGAUAUUGUUUCGGUGGGGGAUGGGCUCGCGGCCUAUCAGCUUGUUGGUGGGGUGAUGGCCUACCAAGGCGGUGACGGGUAGCCGGCCUGAGAGGGUGGCCGGUCACACUGGGACUGAGACACGGCCCAGACUCCUACGGGAGGCAGCAGUGGGGAAUAGUGCACAAUGGGCGCAAGCCUGAUGCAGCGACGCCGCGUGAGGGAUGGAGGCCUUCGGGUUGUGAACCUCUUUCGCCAGUGAAGCAGGCCUGCCUCGUUUGUGGGUGGGUUGACGGUAGCUGGAGAAGAAGCGCCGGCUAACUACGUG